rnacentral:tRNA from 4 species
GGGCCCGUCGUCUAGCCUGGCUAGGAUGCGGGGUUCGGGACCCCGUGGUCCGGGGUUCAAAUCCCCGCGGGCCCACCA